rnacentral:rRNA from 1 species
GGAAUCGCUAGUAAUCGCAGAUCNGAAUGCUGCGGUGAAUACGUUCCCGGGUCUUGUACACACCGCCCGUCACACCAUGGGAGUCGGGAAUGCCCGAAGUCAGUGACCCAACCGCAAGGAGGGAGCUGCCGAAGGCAGGCUCGAUAACUGGGGUGAAGUCGUAACAAGGUACC